GGCUCCCGGUGCAUGGAGCCUGCUUCUCCCUCUGCCUAUGUCUCUGCCUGCCUCUCUCUCUCUUUCUCUCUGUAUGACUAUCAUAAAUAAAUAAAAAUUAAAAAAAAAAACCGAAAGAUGUUUAAAGACCAAAGAAGAGAGAUAAGUCUGAUAAAAAAAGGUAAGCAGAACAAAAUUAGGAAUAAUAGGGGAUAUAACUAUAGACAUAGAUUUUAUUUCAAAAUUAUUAGAGUAUACAUGAAUUCCAAUAAAUUUGAAAACAUUUUGAAACAAAAUUGAAAGUAGAAAUAAUUUUCUAGGAACAUAUAAACUAUUAGAAUGACUCAACAAAAGGCAAAAAAUCUGAAAAGACUAACUACUGGAAAAGAAAAAUGGAAAAUGUAGUCAAAGCCUCCACCUCUAACUCCUAGCAACCAGGUCCCAGGCCCAGAUGUUUUUGCUACUUUUUUUUUUUAACUUUUAACAACCUUUAAAACUUAAAGUACAUACUAAUUCCUGUGCUAGAUUUCUAUAGAACAUAGAAAAUAUGUAAUGAUUCUCAAUUUAUCCUAUAAAGUUAGUAUAACCUAAAUACUGAAAGAUGGGUAAGAUGAUGCUAAAAUAGCAAAGUGCAGAUCAGAGUUCAAUAACUAAAAAUGCCUAUUAAAGCCAAGAUAUUUAAUAGUACGAAAUUUAAUAUUUACUAGGAAAUCUGAUAGAGUGACCAUACGGAGUGGUCCAUGGCAGUGUGGAGAACAUAUGUGCUAUAUAAAAGAGAUCAUCAGUUUGGUGUACGGCAGGGAUUAGAAGUACAAUUUUAUUAAUGCACACAUAAGCAGAAAUUCUAAAUAUAAUAACAAAUCAAAAUUAGUAGUUUCUUAAAAGAAUAAUACACCAUAACCAGGAGGAGUGUUCUGACCAAUGCAAGGUGGACUCAAUGCUAGAAAAAUCUAUCAUUAUACUUCAACUUGUUAAUAUAUCAGAGGAGAAAAAACACAUGAUUGUCUUGAUAAACUCAGUAAAGGCAUUUAAUAAAAUUGCAUAUCCAUUCCUAAUAAAAAUUCUUAAUAAGCUAAGUUCAGAGAAAAUAUUGAUAAAGGAUAUAAACAGAAGCCUACAAAACCAUCUAUUAACACUAAACAAUUAGAAGCAAGAGAGGGAUGCUUGCACAUCAUCAUCAUUGCUACUCCAUAUUACACCUUGGGCAAGGCAGUGAUGUGAAAAUAAAGUGAGGCAUAAAUAUCAGGAAGGAAGAGCAAAUAUAGUUCUUUUCAAAGUACAUGGCUGUUGUCAUCCAAAAUCCAAAAUCAUCAGCUUAAAAAUGGCUAAAACUACUAAAAUUGGUAAGGUGCCUUAAUUAAAAAAUAUAUCUUUUUAUCUGUUCUAUACCUCCACAUCAUAAAGAUACAGAUAUGAAAAGCAGAGAGAAGAAAGAUGACCAAGUUAAUACAAUAUAUAGCCCCUCUGGAGUUCUUGAAUUUUCUAAAUUAUGUUUAAUGGUUGAAACAAAAUUCUAACACUGUCUGAUGUAGUUGUAAGUUUGGUAGAGGAAAUAUUUAAGACAGGGAAGGAGAAAAGGUUGCAAAAGUAAGGUUUUUUAUGCAUCAAGCUGGUGCAAUACUGAUACCAACAGACCAUGAUAAAUGAUACAUGCUUACAUGUACACACAUACACACAUGCAUACCUGUAAUAUCUAGACAAACACUUCAAAAACAUACAGAUUAAAAAAAUGGAAUUCUAAGAAAUGUUUAUGUAACCCAGAGGUAGACAGGAAAAA
rnacentral:lncRNA from 1 species